GGCAUAAUGAAAUAAUGAUUAAUGAUUUCAGUGUUUUCCGCACUCGAGAGGAAAGAGGUUGCAGGGAACUUAGAGACUAAUCUUUGCCAACAUACUGGAUUUCUGGUGAUGACAAUAGCAGCAGAUAGUAUGCGGCUCAGUUAAUACUAAAAACAAUUGAUUUUACUAAUUAGUGGACUAUGAGUGUGUGUUUGGCCAUCCAGAUUUCAUAACUACAACUGAUGUUCAAUUACCAGGGAUAUUAAUCAGUCUCCGUGGACUAUACACUGUGCCUAGUUUCAUCCUCAGAGACUGAUGUGUAAGCUUAAAGUAAAGACAUCAAAUCAAAGUAUCAGCCAUCAAGAGGAAAAACAUUCAAAAUCAUAUUGUGAUACACAAGUCAAGCAAGUCUGACCAGCAUUUUGAUACAGGCCAAGAAAAAGCUGGAUACUUGAUUGGAAGGGUCGCACAAAAAGCAUGGGUUAUCACUAGGGAAACAAGCUCGCAAUACAGUUCACUGUUAGGACAGCAAGCCAAAUACUUCUAAACUUAUUUGAAUCAUUUUUGCUGUUUAUUAUAAUUCAUCCAAUUGUCUUAUUAAAUAUAUAAAUUUAUAUAUAUACACAAUUCCUAAUAUAGAAUUUCUAAAAAUG